GUGUCAGCCGCCGCGGUAAUACGUAGGGACCAAGCGUUGUUCGGAUUUACUGGGCGUAAAGGGCGCGUAGGCGGCUUGCCAAGUCACUUGUGAAAUCUCUGGGCUUAACCCAGAACGGCCAAGUGAAACUGGCAUGCUAGAGUGCAGAAGGGGCAAUCGGAAUUCUUGGUGUAGCGGUGAAAUGCGUAGAUAUCAAGAGGAACACCUGAGGUGAAGACGGGUUGCUGGGCUGACACUGACGCUGAGGCGCGAAAGCCAGGGGAGCAAACGGGAUUAGAUACCCCGGUAGUCCUGGCCCUAAACGAUGAAUACUUGGUGUCUGGAGUAAUUUGUGCUCCGGGUGCCGUCGCUAACGUUUUUAGUAUUCCGCCUGGGGAGUACGCUCGCAAGAGUGAA
rnacentral:rRNA from 1 species